CAUUUUUGCCAUUCUCUCUGCUCUUAGGAAUUGGACGUGUCUCUAUCUAGGAUGGUAUUUCAUGCCUUCAUGGACCAUGUUGGAGAUUUAAGUCCAAUCAAGGACCAGUGAUGAGAUGGACAUAAGGAUGACUGAAGCUGAGAGAGAAAAAAAAGUUUUGGAUGUCACCUGGGGAACUCUCAAGAUUGGACGCCAACCAAAGCUUCAUCCUGAGGUACCUCUAGAGUACCUAGGACAAGAUGAUGGUGGAUCCCAAGAGAUUCACGUAGAAUCUCCUCUGAAGAUGAGUACAGUUUCAAAGAAGGGUACAAAGAAUGAGUUACGAAGAUUUUCCAGGAUUCAUGAUGCAUAACGUCUACUCAGGUAGCUCUCAUCUCACAGGAGUUAAAUAUUCAUUAGGUCAAUAAUCAGGGCUGCAUUUCCAGGCCCAUGGGGAAGAGUUAGCUUGCCCUGCUCCAGAAGGACUAGACAGAACGACCAGCAGGUGCAUCUGUUUCCACAUUCACCGCAGAGGUUCCUCAAGAGCUGAUUAUUUG
rnacentral:lncRNA from 1 species